UACAGAGGUCCCAAGCGUUGUUCGGAUUCACUGGGCGUAAAGGGUGCGUAGGCGGUCGGGUAAGUCUGAUGUGAAAUCUCACAGCUUAACUGUGAAACUGCAUUGGAUACUAUCCGGCUAGAGGAAUGGAGGGGAGACUGGAAUACUUGGUGUAGCAGUGAAAUGCGUAGAUAUCAAGUGGAACACCAGUGGCGAAGGCGAGUCUCUGGACAGUAACUGACGCUGAGGAGCGAAAGCGUGGGGAGCGAACAGG
rnacentral:rRNA from 1 species